AAUUUUGGACAAUGGGGGAAACCCUGAUCCAGCCAUCCCGCGUGUAUGAUGAAGGCCUUCGGGUUGUAAAGUACUUUUGUCAGAGAAGAAAAGGUAUCUCCUAAUACGAGAUACUUCUGACGGUAUCUGCAGAAUAAGAAACGGCUACCUACGUCCCAGCAGCCGCCGUAAUACGUAGGGUGCAAGCGUUAAUCGGAAGUACUGGGCGUAAGGCGUGUGUAGGCGGUUCGGUAAGAAGGAUGUGAAAUCCCAGGGCUCAACCUUGGAACUGCAUUUUUAACUGCCGAGCUAGAGUAUGUCAGAGGGGGGUAGAAUUCCACGUGUAGCAGUGAAAUGCGUAGAUAUGUGGAGGAAUACCGAUGGCGAAGGCAGCCCCCUGGGAUAAUACUGACGCUCAGACACGAAAGCGUGGGGAGCAAACA
rnacentral:rRNA from 1 species